rnacentral:misc_RNA from 1 species
GAUGAAGAACGUAGCGAAAUGCGAUACGUAAUGUGAAUUGCAGAAUUCAGUGAAUCAUCGAGUCUUGAACGCACAUUUCGCCCCCUGGUAUUCCGGGGGGCAUGCCUGUCCGAGCGUCAUUGCUGCCCUCAAGCACGGCUUGUGUGUUGGGCCUCCGUCCUCCUCCCGGGGGACGGGCCCGAAAGGCAGCGGCGGCACCGCGUCCGGUCCUCGAGCGUAUGGGGCUUCGUCACCCGCUCUUGUAGGCCCGGCCGGCGCUUGCCGACACAUCAAUCUUUUUUCCAGGUUGACCUCGGAUCAGGUAGGGAUACCCGCUGAACUUAAGCAUAUCAAUAAGCGGAGGA